UACGGAGGGGGCAAGCGUUAUUCGGAAUUAUUGGGCGUAAAGCGCGUGUAGGCGGCCUUGUAAGUCCGUUCUGAAAGCCCGGGGCUCAACCCCGGGAGGCGGAUGGAUACUGCAAGGCUCGAGUCCGGAAGAGGCAAGUGGAAUUCCCGGUGUAGCGGUGAAAUGCGCAGAUAUCGGGAGGAACACCAAUGGCGAAGGCAGCUUGCUGGGACGGUACUGACGCUGAGACGCGAAAGCGUGGGGAGCAAACAGG
rnacentral:rRNA from 1 species